CCUGUAGGAGGAAGGGAAAAUACAAACUGUUUGCACCUCAAAAGUGAGAGUGGUCUGGUUUGUUGUGUGUAUUGGUUGUGGUAAAACUUCUAGCACUGCCAGUUUUUAUAUAUUUUUCUAAAAACCUUGCUUGCGUUUCUAGGACUGAUGCUGAUGUUGAAGACUUUGGACAGCUCUGUUCUUGAGCUAGGCGACAAUGUGAGCCCUGUAUUUUCCAAGCAGAAUGUUGGUAUCUGGCUCUACGUGUUCAAUUGCUGAAUUAAUAAAUCUGGAUGCUCAUUUUGUUUUGUCCAGGGGACAUUUUAACUAGUGCUUUAGGCCUGAGUGUCGUUGUCAGCUGAUGUCGAAUGAAGCCUGUGUGUGGCACUUCAUGCAGUUGAAGAACAUCUCCCACCUUGUGUAAGAUGUGCUACUGGGGAACCGAGCUGGGUCACAGCCAUGAGCGUGGGACUUAAGAAAGCACAAACAAACUUUCUGUCACAGCAUGAUAGAGCAAAAUGUGUGUAUUGUGCCUUCCCUGCCUGAGCCAUGGGUAGGCUCCCAUCUGGGAGUGUUUUUUGAGGAACUUAGGGCUGUCAGAAGGAAAGAGCUGUGUGCUGUCGAUUUUUAAACACCAGUCCCACUCAGCAGCUGAAGGAAAUACCAUUUCUAAUGACAGACAUGAUGGCAAAGGCUGUACAGGAAGACAGCCAUUAGCUUGAUCACGUUGCUUUGGUUCAUUAGAAAUCAGCCCUCAGACACCAAUGAGUCUGCAGGGGGUGAGGUGAAGCAUCUACUUGUCUAAAAUUAAAACAUUAAUUAAAAGAAAACAAAGGAAAACCUUGAUUCCAAAACUCUGGUCCUUUGCAAGAUAGGCUGAACUCCCAUUGUGCCCACGUGUCAUAGCUGUUGGCAAAAAGGACUGUGGACUUCUGCUUUUGCCUCUUCUCUCUGAGCUUCACCAGGCUGCAGUAUUUGAACACUUGGCCUAUGCUUGCUGUUUGGUUUAUCCUUUAUUUUCUACCAAAUAAAUCAAGUAGGUUUGUGAGCAGGAGAACUGCCAGAGUCUGGUUGCUUAUGAACUUUUGUGCUUUCAAGUUGAAUUGUGUUUCUGUUUGACCUCUGACUGAACCUCUUCCUACAGGGAGUUUGUAUGUGGAGAAACUCUCAGCAGAAGGACAGCCAAGGAUAGAAUUUGGCUGCCCGCAGAUGUUGUGCUGUUGCCAUCCUUACUGGGGGACUGGUUGGACUGGAGACCUCCUGUAAUGCGCUACAGGGAAAGGCGAUUGGCUACUGCUGACACAGAGGACGGACAAGUGGGAUGUGACCCAGUGCUGUGGGGAGAUCAGCACUGACUCCACUCAGCACAAGAUCAACACCCUGAAACCCAGAAAAAGAUUGGGCUGACAUUCAUGAUGAACAUCCUUACCUGGGAAUCUGAAGGAGGAGAAGAUAAAACUGAUCUGCAUUUGCUAGCUUCGACUUCUCUUCUUUGAAGGCCUUCAGGUUUUCUAUCUAAUGAAAAAUAAAGAAUCAAGACUGCAGGACUUCACUGCACAUUCAGCUCUGUGAAUCAAGGGUGCAAUUUUUCUCUCCUGACCUCAUGUUUUUCAGGCAGCAGCUUCAGCAGCUGUUUUAGAACCUCAACGUCAAACUUGGUCCGAUCCCCAUUCUGGACCAUGGCAGCCACCUCUUCAUUGGAGCUGCAGAGAGAAGCACAGGCAGAAGUCACCCAAAGGUCCCCCUUCCACAACCAUAUGCUACUGAGGCAUGUACUUGCACAAGUGUUCUGUGCUUUCAAUAGUGAGGAUCACAGAGAUAGGAAAGGAAAGAUACAUCCCAGUGAUUAAUUCAGAACUGGGACGUGGAAAAUCCAGAUUCAAGUACUUGCUAUGCACAAAAUUUGCUUCUGGCCCCAGUCAAAUGACUUAAGACUAGAGAUCAACGUUCCCACUCAGAUGUCUGUCUCUGGGUAUGUGACUACCUUAAUUCUUCUUAUUAUUAUAUUAUAUCUUAUUAUGAAUUCUUAUCUUCCUUCUUGGUCCUGCUUUGAGGAAGAGUUUCACUUCCAGAGGCAUCUCACAGCCAAAGCCACCCUUAGAGUCUGUGCUAUAACUCUGUCUGUAACAUGGAGUUGUAACACUUUAUGAAAACACAGUUAAAUACCCAAGCCCAAUGUUUGAGAGAGAGUAUUUGACAAGCUGUGAAAUAAUCAGAUUUUACAGCAACACAGACUACAAAAAGAACAUUGGCAAAAGUAGAUCUCUUGAGGAUCUUACAGGCACUAUGCACAACCUACUCAAAGUUUUGUCAACUGUCAUGAAAAUCGGCUAUAUCUUACCAUUUAAAUUGCUUCAAAAAUAUGUUCAAAUUGAGACUUUUCUUGGAGUCCAAAAAUGUGAUCUUCAUUAAAGAAAAAGAAGAUAUCACUUAUUAGAUGAGCUGUCUUCAGCAAUCUUUACUUGAAAGAAUGAGAGUGGCCCCCUCACCUCCUUCGGCUCUGCCUUCACUGGUGCAGCUGUUUUCUCCUUAGGGGUUGGUUGUGGAAAGCAAAACAGCUGCUCUAUGCUUGUGUAAUUGGGCUCUAUGGUUUCCUCGCUGCUGCUGCUCACUGAAGCCCACAUCGAGUGACUUUCUGAAAAAAAAGACAAGGGUUAAAGAGUAGCUGCAGAGCUGAAAGCUCCCAGCUUUUUGGGUAGUCUGAGUUGCUAGAAGGGAAAUUCCUCAGAAGGUGAACUAAAUAAGAAGAGACAUAUUUUUGAGUUUGUAAUCAAGUAUCCUUGUGUUAUGCUGGCAAUAAGACUGCUUAAAUAAAUCCCUAUUGCAUUCUCUUAAGCACUGAAUUAAGCCCACUGCACUUUCUUAAACCUUUUCUUUUCUUUAAAAAACAAAAAACAUCACCUAAACUUGGCUGCAGAAAGCUCUACUGAAAUAAUCCCAACAAUUAAACGUCCGAUGAUUAAAAACGUGCCUUA